rnacentral:misc_RNA from 1 species
GAUGAAGAACGUAGCGAAAUGCGAUAAGUAAUGUGAAUUGCAGAAUUCAGUGAAUCAUCGAAUCUUUGAACGCACAUUGCGCCCGCCAGUAUUCUGGCGGGCAUGCCUGUUCGAGCGUCAUUUCAACCAUCAAGCCCCAGGCUUGUGUUGGGGACCUGCGGCUGCCGCAGGCCCUGAAAACCAGUGGCGGGCUCGCUGUCACACCGGGCGUAGUAGAUUUUAUCUCGCUCAGGGCGUGCUGCGGGUCCCGGCCGUUAAAAGCCUUUUUUUACCCAAGGUUGACCUCGGAUCAGGUAGGAAUACCCGCUGAACUUAAGCAUAUCAAUAAGCGGAGGA